AGUUGACUCCGUCCACUCGACUAGUGCAGACGUUCUUUAAAUAACCUCGUGCUCUGUUUAAUUAUUAUACAAUUGGUGUGCAUGACACGUCGCCUGAGGACUAGACCCUGUUUAUUUGACGAAACUAUUUUAGGCACGUUUAAAAACUGGUCGAUCGUUGCUACGAAACUGCAGGUGUCAAAAUUCCUGGAUUUAAUAACAAAAUUCCUGAGGUUAAUAACAAAAUUCCUGAGUUUAAUAGCAAACUUCCUGAGUUUAAUAACAAAAUUCUUGACUUUAAUCACAAUAUUUGUGAGCUUAAUGGUAUUCGUGAAAUUUAAACAUAUUACAUCGUAUAUAAUAAUUACAAUAAAAAUUUGUAUUAUUCUUGCGGAAAGUGAAUUUUAUCUUUAAAUAGAAAUAAAAAAUAAAAGGAAUAAACUAGUUAAAAAUUUAUAACGAUAAUUUUACAUGUGGUAUUUUCUUGCUUUCUAAAUUUCAGUAUCAUAUCAGUGAACCGAUUAUUUAUAAUCAAGGUGUCAAAGUUAUAAACAAGGUGAAAUUAUUUUUAAACAUUUCGAUUGUAUCAUACGUUACUUAUCGAUUAUCGGAACAUCAGUACCCAGACUUAACAGUUAAGCGAAAAAUUUCGAAAACGCGUUUAUAAAAUAAUGAAACAAUGAAAUGUUAAUUAAUUAAACAUUAUUAUUUUCUAAUUUGUAAGAAUGUGGCAAUGCAGGAAAAUCAAUUGCAUAUGUAUAUUUAGCACAAAACGGAAGAAAUUUUGACCUACUUAUUUUUCAAACUAUCUUCAAAUUAGAUAAUGGAUUCUAAUAUAUUUUAUUCAACUGGUGUAAAUUCGUUUCUUCGUUAGUAAUAUUUAAUCUCAUUUUGUAAAAUGAUGGAGGAUUACUAUAUGAUGAUACAAUCGUACCUCGAUUUUAGCGGCUGAGGGAACAGAUCAAUAAAUCCGUACUCUUCGAAGGAUACUAGAUGGCUCUUGCACCCUCUCUGCGGGGAUAGUCCUGCACCCCUAUUUCAGGUAAACUCGACGGCGAUAUUUCUUCAAUCUGCACAGUCGUGCCGCAUCCACCGCCGGUUGCGUACCUAUCUCGCGCUCUUCAAAAUACUUCGUAUACGCAUCUCUUUCCGAUAAAAGUUCUUAAAAGUUGUAUUCAAAAUUAAAUGUGAUAGAAACGUGUUACGAAUUUUGUCGCGUAAUCGCAAUAAAUAAAAUAAAAGAAGAAAAGAAGCUCUAAAGUAAAUUAAUAAAAAGAAAAGACAAAAAGAAAACAAAAAACGAUCGUGUAAACGACAAAUAAUCGAAGAAAUUAUUAUCAACGAAGUGUUCCCUAAAACUUUGUCAUGAGAUAGGAAAUAAUUUUAUUUUUAGUCGUUUUUAUAUUUUCUCCCGACUCUGAUAUUGUCUAAGCACGUGUGUCGUUAAGUUUCAUAAAUUUUUUAUUUUUCUGUUACCGCUCAUUUAUUUAUGGACGACGGUACUUACUAAGUCUCGUUAACACGCACAGUUUUCCCACGAGAAACGAAAGAACAACAUGAUUUUUACGAAAUUUAAGCGCAAAUUAAAUAUUUCGCAACUUUACAACGAAUAACUAACGCUCUGAGAUUCGUGUGGAUUAUUUUGUUAAAGUGACGUAUGUUUUACGGAGAGUCUUAUUAUUGGACGAUAUCAUAAAAAGCUAUUUAACGAGAAUGUGUCAAGAAAGUUUCGUGGGAUUUAGGUUGAAAAAUAUAAUUUAAUCCGCGUGAAUGGUGAUAGUUGUGUGGAAAGUGCGAACAAUUUAUCCAAAAUAUCUGAAUAUUUUACCGAAAGUUUCCACGUAAUGUUUCUUUAAGUAUGAUAUCCAUCUUUUGUAACGCAAGAGCGAUCAAGAAAACGUGACCCAGAAAAGUGUGAGAUCGAACGCAAGUUACUUGAUAUUCUGAUGUUUAAUGUGCCCAUUAAAUCAAAGUUCCUUACUAACAAAAGAGGAAAGGAAAAAGAGAUCGAAGUUGACAGAUUUUAUUUAACAGGAAGAUCUUCGAAAUUUUAUAUCGACGGUCCAUUGAAUAAUUCUUUACGCGCUGGAUUAUCGAUUAACUAACACGCAUAUGAGGAAAUUACAAUAAAGUAUUACAAAUUCUAAUCAUUGUUUAAAACAUCGUUUAUUGUGUGAAAGAAUGACGUGAUAGAAUGUUAAAUUUGGAUGUGAAUGCGCUCGAGUUCGGUAUAAGGAUACACGCAUUUAGGUGUCUUCGUGCUAUCAUGAUAUCGAAAUCAAAGAUGCAUCAACCAUAUUCAUCAGGGACAUAUUUGUCAAACGAGAGUUGCAGCAAUUAGCAGCCGUUGGACGACCAAUCAUGAAUCGAUCUAUCUGCAUCAGUUACGCCUUAUGAGCUUUAAUCCGGUAAAAGGAAGGGCGGGUGAUCGUUAAACCCUCUCGAUAUCAGCGCGUGAGGACCAAGAUCGACAGCUGGCGGAAAGAAAAUCAUACUUGAUCCCUCAAAGACACGACGUAAGAAUUUACUAAAAUUCCAUUAAUCGCAAGGAAUUUUGGGGUAAAUUCGUAUAUCAGAUACACGCCAUCGAAUAGAUUUUUCUACAAGAUUAGAGAAUGACUUCUAGAAAUACAGAGUAUUAAGUUUUUUAACUGCAGUGUUUACUAACGUGAUACAUUUACUGUCAUAGGUAAGAUAAAUAACAGCUUUCAUAUCGAUCUUCUUUUAAACUAAGAUGAAACUGAAGUAUAGGAGAAAAUUGAAUUAAAACUUGCAACAAGGCCAUUUGUUAUAAUAUGAACGAAAGUGAUUAGAAACUCCGAGAUACAGUUUCAAGAUCUGCUAUGAUAUAACUUCAACGAUCUGUGGAUGUGAUACACGAUGUUUCAAGAGAUGGAGACUUUGGACAGAAUAGCCAGAAAUUUUUCAAACAGCUCGUACAACGAAACUCAGAAACUCUUCGAUGAAUAUAAUUUCGAUCGACAUCAAGUGGAGAGAAUAGUAGUUGUUGUGGUGCCGAUAUUUUUUGGUAUGAUUGGUAUCCUUGGACUCAUUGGGAACUCUUUGGUCGUUAUCGUGGUUGCCGCGAAUCCUGGAAUGAGAUCAACCACGAAUAUCCUAAUUAUCAAUCUAGCCGUGGCGGAUCUAUUGUUCGUCAUUUUUUGUAUACCAUUUACCGCAACCGAUUUUGUGCUACCUUACUGGCCCUUCGGCAACUUCUGGUGCAAGAUGGUUCAAUAUCUCAUCAUCGUCACUGCCUACGCCAGUGUUUACACCUUAGUCCUCAUGAGCCUCGAUAGAUACUUGGCAGUGGUUCAUCCCAUUUCCUCCAUGUCAUGGAGGACCGAAAACCACGCAAUCGUCGCCAUCUGUAUCGCUUGGGCGAUGAUUUUCGCAAUAUCCACUCCUGCAUUCAUCGUCCACGGCGAGGACAUAGAUGACUUGUUGUCGGAGAACUUGACGGCUUGUCGAAUCCUACCGCAAUAUAGUUGGCCGUUAUUCCAAUUGUCGUUCUUCCUGAUGAGCUAUCUGCUGCCACUGACGCUGAUAUGUUUCUUUUACAUUUGCAUGCUCAUCAGACUCUGGCGCACUGAUCGCGUCAGCGCCGAAAGUCGACGCGGAAGAAAGCGAGUUACGAGGCUAGUCUUCGUCGUCGUUGGCGUUUUCGCCUUUUGUUGGUGUCCUAUACAGGUAAUCCUAGUGACAAAAGCAUUGGAUGUGUACCGAUUGACAUCAGCGACAAUAAUGGUGCAAAUAGCGAGUCAUAUUCUGGCGUAUACGAACAGCUGCGUCAAUCCUAUUCUUUACGCUUUCCUCAGUGACAGCUUUCGGAAAGCUUUUCGAAAAAUUAUUUACUGCAGACCUCGACCAGAUCAAGCCAGACAACUGGGACCAUUGACGAAGACUACGAGAGCUGCCAGUACUGGUGACAUCCUUUAGGUAUUACGACUCAGCGUAGGAAAAUGGUUUGAAAUCAAUUUCGAUCCAUUGGAUGUUUUCAUUAAUAAGAUCAGAGAACAAAGCGAAGGAGUGAAAGGUACAUAGAAGAGAUUAAGCGUGAUCAUAUUUUAGCCCUUGGUCAUUAAUCUCGUGAACAGCGUAAGAUACAUUCUUACCUAGUUCCAUUUUUUAGAGUGAAAUUUCUCGAUAUAAUAAAACUUACAGUUGAUGAAAUUGAAGAAGAAAAGGAAACAUGAGAAGCCUGUUCAUCGUGACAUUGCUUGAGUAUAAUCGCGACGUAAAUUUUUCAUAAAUUUUGUUGCGCAUUUGUAGAACAUAUCCGUUGAUAGUCGUAACAUCUGUGAAGCUGUAAACAGAAGGAAGCCAGAAGAAAAUUAUAUUUCAUACACGUUUUUGCCCGAGCUUUUGCUAUGUAUGCGUUUAAAUUAUCGGAGAAUAUUACGGAGUAUGCGCGUACAUGCUCUAUAAAGCGUAUAAUUCGCUAAAAAGAUCCAGGUAAACUCUCUCUUCGACUCGCAGUAGUCGAAAUGAACAAUUUGCAAUUUUUCAAAGAGAAUUUUAUAGAUUUACAACAGCACACUCUUGGCGAUCGGAACAAGAUUACCGAAUAAUGAAAAUAUUGCAAAGUAGAUUAGUCAUAGGAUUACGUAGAUUUUUGCCUCUUGUUUUAAAAUGUCUUCGAAAUACUGUGCCGAUUGGUAAUGGUUAUUUCGUUAUCGAAACAAUCUCAAUAUCUCUCGAUGGGACCAUUCUUCUUGCACUGGUAAGAAAAUGUUUCUGUAUACGGUUGCGCAAUCAGUUGGUGUAAUAUUACUAUGGAGAACUGUUUCGAGAGCUUUCUGGUUGGUAGCCUGAAAAUUCGUAACGUGUAGAAGUAAUUUGAUCGUUGGGAAUCAAAACAUUCACAAGAUGUAUAAAUAAUUCAACCACGUUUGAUUUUAUAAGAACGGGCUAGAUACGAAAUUGUUGGAAAAAUAAAAUAUAACAAAUAAAAUACAAGUGGUCUAUGAUGACCGAUGAAAAAUAUUUCCAGUUCUUGAAAACGAACAUUUGUGAUAUUUUUUCGAUCCGUAUAUGUGGUGUUAUAGUGAUGUUACGGGAAAUACGAUAUUGGUUUUUUACAGUUCACUAGUCUGUAGGAGUUUUUACCCAACGAAAAAUUAUUUCCACGCCAGAUUUUGCAAGACUGCAUGUCGAAACUCGAUUACAUUAUAGAAGCAAUGGAACGUGUAUAUACUAAUGAGGUGGGCAUGUACUUAUCAAUGAUAAAUCAUAUUUCCGUAGAUGAAUGAAUGGCCUAUAAUUCACAUACUUGUGGUGUCACGCAAACGUCAUUUCCUAGUAUCAAUACAGUCUGCUACUGUACACCUUUGGCUUUAUGUAGAUACUGAUUUAUCUUAUAGCUAUGUAUUAUCAGUUUUACCAACCUAUGUCGCUGUCAAGCUCCAUGGGCAUCGUAUAUCACUCGAAUUCAGCUUGCAAAUGCGAAUUACAAAGCAAGAGGUGUCAAGCGAUUCUACAAUUUCCUACAGUUUCAUAAUAGAAAUAAUUAAUAUUAAAUUAAACUUUUACUAAAAUAAUUUCCUACAAUUUCAUGAUAGACAUAAUUAAUAUUAAAUUAAAUUUUUAUUAAAAUAAUUAAUAUCAAAUAAUACAUCAUAUAGAAAAAACUUUGUUUCUAAAUAUUCCAAAUUUAUAUGAAAAUAUUUUGAGAACAAGGCUUAAUGAAUUUUUGUUUUGAUAUUUCUUCCUCUACGCAAAUAAAUUUGUCUUUAGCAUAAAUGUAACGAGCGAGUAAUAAAAGGUAGCCUCGCUUUCCAGAGUGGAAUAGUCUCGAAUUACUUAUAGUUCCUUCCUGAGCGUUAUGAGACUUCAUCUGUGAAAGCGUCUUUGUUUGGAGCAAAUAGAGUCGGUGGAAAGGGAACGCACCGAGGUGGUCGUGAUCGUAAAAAGAGUACACGAAUUCACAUGGAAUUAACGUCGAAUGGGGAAAACUAGGGUGACGCUUAAUGGAAAGUACUUGUACUUAGGUUGCCCAUACAAUGAGUCAUCGACGACACCUAAAAAUAGAUUAAGACGUUCAACUUGCCUUUCCAAUUUCCGGAUAACAUUGUUUCUGUAUUUAAGUUACUUUCCUGGAGUCCUUGAUUAAAAGUUUCGCGACAAAUAAAAUCUCUAUUAACCAAUCCCUUCUGUAACUUUAAAUACUACGAUUAGAGAGCUCUAAAUGACGACCGACUAAGAAUAAUUAAAACAGAUUACUCGAUGGGCAAUUUGGAAUAAAAAUAUUUCCCAUUUUCUUCAUAACCGAUAAUUUAAAAAUCUUUCCAUUCCUAAACUACUUUACCGAUUAAUUCCUUCCAAACAUGCGUAACAAAGUCAUCCAUAGAAAACUUUAUACAUUUAUCAUAGACAAUUAACCUAGACAACAUGACAUAUUGUCACGAGGAUCGUAAAGAUGCUCCCCUCGUUGGGAUUAAGAACCGCUGGACACCUCACAAACGAUUCUUCCCCUAUCCGUCUUUACGGACACGUAUUUCUUCGAAAUUGAUAUGAAAUACGUUAUCAAAGUGUCUUAGUCGAUGGCCCUACAUCACUCAUAAAUCCAUCGCCAUCCAAUAUUAAUUAAAGAAAUGUUUAGAGUUUGGCCACGAAUAACGCGACGUUCUCAUACCAUCCGACCGAAAUUCUCGCAAUGUUUCCACGUUAUAAUUCUGGGUUAGGAGGCUUACCAAAGUAGGCCGAGCUGUGAAACCGGUGGAAACUUCACUCGUGAAGUAAAAGAGGGCUGCCAUUCUCUUUUUGCCUCCUCAUCUCUGUCAUAUCGUACGCUUGCCUCCACUUUUCUUUUUUCUUUUUUUUUUGGUAUCUUUAGCUCUCUUUUCUCUUGGCUUGUCUUUCUUGCACUUUCCCGUCAUCGAUCUGUGUACCCAUCAUCGAGUCUGUCCACUUUCGUCGUCGCUUACGAACUACUUUACUGAACACGUCUGCGAAGAUGGUCGCUUAAAAAUUUCACAAUCGUUUCCCUUUUCUUAUCGAAACUGAAGGUACUGGAUAUUCGUAGUACUCGCGGCUCUCCUUCGAUCCUUAUUCCUGCUAAUGGAUACAUUAUGCAGAUUAAAUUGCUUUAUGAUAUCUUUAUGAUUUUUAUACCAAAUAGAAUGGACUGCGUUGUGCAACGGAGUAAAAGGCAAUCGCCUAUGCAAAAAUUAACGAAGAGCGCGGAAUAACAAUUUUUAGCAGUAUAUAUGGCAGAAGAUUUGCAAAGUUAACUUUCACAUAGUUCAUUUACAAGUGGCAGGACAUAUUUUUAUUUUGAGAAGCAAUCACUCUUCUAUUAGAUUCAACAAUACUCGCAGUUGUAGCAAUUUUAUUAAUUUCCUUGCUUCUUGUUGUUGUAUUAUUACUGUUUCAGGUUACAAAUAUUUCGACGUCGGAUUCGUCGUUCUGUAACAAGCACUAAUUGCGCCGAUUUUACAUCGAAAUUAAAGGAUAUCGCCGGUAUUCGAUAUUCGAUGUUACACAGUAUAGUUAUCAUGUGAACUGGAACGUGCAUUCGUGUCGUUUAAGCGUGACGUCCGUUUUGCGAAACAAUUACAACAGCGACGUAUCUUUAAUCUUUCUAAUUAACAAGCUCGAUGACUGUGUCGAUCGCGUGACGUUGCUCGAUUUUUGGAGCAAUCCUAUCGUAUCGAAUGUUCCAUGGAUUCGUAAUUAAGCAUGUUUUUUUUUUCUCGUGUGCUGAUGGUAAUAAACGUUUUAUAUAGACGUAAACGGCGUGCGGAUUUUACGCUUACACUGUGAACAAACUUUGUACAUAGUAACGCUUGUAAGGUAAUAACGAGAGUACGAGUAUAAAUAGUAACGUUAAGUGAUGAAUAGGUUCGACGAUAGUUACUAAUCUAGAUUUAGAGAACAAAGAGGCAGCUUAUCGUUUGUUUUAUAAAGAAGAAUCCAAAAAGAAAGGAACGAAAGAGCUUAACGACGCGGCAGAUAGAAAGAUGUUGAUAUUUAAAUUAUUAUAAAACUUUUAAGUUACGUAAUUUCGGGAGGAAGCUUCACUGAAGAUUCGCGGAUCGUGGUAGAUAAGCCCCUGCCCAUCCGCGAGCCAAGCGCGCAAAGAAAUACACAUUUUGAAAGUAACUUAAACGACGAUAUAAGAUUUUCCUUUCUUUUCCAGCUGAUCGUUGUAGAUUUUAAGAAUUCUAGGUUUAAGAACACUCGAGAUUUCGUGAAGAAUUGUCCUGAUACAAAUUGUAAAGUACAUAUAUCAAUAAAGGUGCUCAUGUAAUACAAAGAA